GAACUUAGCAGCAACUCGACUUGUUCACUAGUGUCCAGAGUUUCGACAAGGUUAUGAUGCACCCUCGAACCGACGUCGUCGGCAGCCGUGACGAUCUUGCUACUCAAUGGAUGAUGGAUUCAACACCAUAACAAACAGAACCACCUGCAGCAACAACAUCUACAAAUAGAAUCAGAUGAAUUUUAGAAAUGUUGGAUCAACGUUUGCAGAGCAAAUGUCAGUUAGUGGUUUUGAGUGAGAGUAGCUGGAGUGGGUGACGGAGAAGGCGACGGUGCGGUUAUUAGGUUUCGUGGUGGCUUUGCACGGCGAUUUGGGG
rnacentral:lncRNA from 1 species